UCGCCUCCCCGACCUCUCCGCGUCGUCGCCCCGCGCUCCGAGGUGGCUCAGUCGAUCGCGCGGCGCCUGCUGCCGCUUCUCUCCUCCUCCUCCUCCUCCUCUACCUCCUCCUCUUCCUCCGCUUUCCUCUCCUUUUCCUCCUCCUCUUCCUCCUUCUCCUCCUCCUCCUCUUCUUCCUCCUCCUCCUCUUCUUUUCCCCACCUCCUCCCCCUCAGCCACCGCCUCCUCCACCGACACCACUCCCUCCGGGGCACCCUGGUCCCUGCAGAGUCCCCCCGGCCCGCUCCGUCUUUGCCCAGGCUCCUCGGAUCCUAAGAAGCGUGUUUCGCCGGAGCUGCAGGACCGACAGACGUGCGGGAGUCCUCGCUCCCAGAGUUCGCCGCCGCGGUCCUCCGGCGGGCCUGGGUCGGGGACGCUGAGAUUGCUCCGGGCACACCAGACCUCGAGGGCCCUAGCACAGGCUGCGUGCCGUGCCCAGAAAGAAACCUUGCUGCUAGUUGCUGAACCAGAUUGGAAUCCCAGCUACAGGCCUGUGACUUGGCCUCGUUUGAAAACAGGGUCCUCACGGGUUUAAUCAAACAUAGAUGAGGCACGCUGGAUUUGGGAGCUGCAGACCAGUGACUCGGGAUCACGCAAAGGAGGCUUGGACGGGCACACACAGCCAGGAGCAGGAGCAGAGACGUCAGAAGUGCAUCUGCAAGCUGAGCUGAGAGAACGGCAGCUAGCUGGCCGCGCUUAAAUCACGUGUCCACACUUGACCAGAAGCCUCACACAUAUGUUAAGUUUGAACAUUUUCCCAGUUCUCCUUGUGCCUUUAUGUUACCUUACCACAAAACGGAGCAACAUUUGCAGAACGUGACCCUGAGUAUCGGUACUGGACUUGACUACUACAGGCUGUCCACAGUGUAUUCAAUGGUUGCAUCUUAAUUAUUUACACAGAACAGUGGUCCAGUUACCUAAAAAUGGAGAACAGCAUCUGGAAAGUUAUCUCAUCCAGUGCUCAGGCAUAAAAGGGUUAACCAUUCUUCCCAUUAUUUCAGCAGGCAAGUCCUUGCUUAUAUUGAAAUCUGAUGGAAAUUCAAGUGUCCAUUCUCUCUCUCAGAAAAAAAAAAAAAAAACCUUAAAAUUCAA